rnacentral:rRNA from 1 species
UUUUAUCAUUAAAAUAAAAAGAUUUGGCGGUAUUUUUUAAGAUUAGAGGAACCUGUGAUUUAAUUGAUAGUCCACGAUAAGAAUUACUUAAAAAUUUGUGUAUUGCUGUUUAAAAGAUGGUAUUGAGUAUUGUUUAAUAUUUUAAAUUAAAGUUAAUUCAAGUCAAAAUACAGUUUAAUUAAGUUGUGGGUUACAUUUUAAUUUAUAAAUAGGAUUUAAUAGUAA